GGGCCUGCUCAGUGAGUUUACAUGUUAGAGAGAGUGGGGUACAGUGACACAGUAACAGAGGAAUUGAGGGCCUGCUCAGUGAGUUUACAUGUUAGAGGGAGUGGGGUAUAGUGACACAGUAACAGAGGGAUUGAGGGUCCUGCUCAGUGAGUUUACAUGUUAGAGGGAGUGGGGUAUAGUGACACAGUAACAGAGGGAUUGAGGGUCCUGCUCAGUGAGUUUACAUGUUAGAGGGAGUGGGGUAUAGUGACACAGUAACAGAGGGAUUGAGGUCCCUGCUCAGUGAGUUUACAUGUUAGAGGGAGUGGGGUAUAGUGACAC